UGGGGAAUUUUGGACAAUGGGCGAAAGCCUGAUCCAGCCAUGCCGCGUGAGUGACGAAGGCCUUAGGGUUGUAAAACUCUUUCGUCGGGGACGAUAAUGACGGUACCCGAAGAAGAAGCUCCGGCUAACUUCGUGCCAGCAGCCGCGGUAAUACGAAGGGAGCUAGCGUUGUUCGGAAUCACUGGGCGUAAAGCGCACGUAGGCGGAUAGUUAAGUCAGGGGUGAAAUCCUGGGGCUCAACCCCAGAACUGCCUUUGAUACUGGCUGUCUCGAGGUCGAGAGAGGUUGGUGGAAUUCCUAGUGUAGAGGUGAAAUUCGUAGAUAUUAGGAAGAACACCAGUGGCGAAGGCGGCCAACUGGCUCGAUACUGACGCUGAGGUGCGAAAGCGUGGGGAGCAAACAGGAUUAGAUACCCGAGUAGUCCCUGAGCGGGCUGGCAAGGCGCAU
rnacentral:rRNA from 1 species